UCCAGAGACCUCAAGCGUUAUCCGGAUUUAUUGGGUGUAAAGAGCAUGUAGGCGGAUAUGUUAGUCAGAUGUCAAAUCUUCGAGCUCAACUCGAAAACUGCAUUUGAAACGGCAUAUCUGGAGAGAGUGAGAGACCGAUGGAACAUAUGGUGUAGCAGUGAAAUGCGUUGAUAUCAUAUGGAACACCAAAGGCGAAGGCAUUCGGUUGGCACUCUUCUGACGCUGAGAUGCGAAAGCGUGGGUAGCGAAUGGG
rnacentral:rRNA from 1 species